GUGUUGAACAACAAGGAAGAUAGAAAAGGAUCUCUGAGAUCGUCAUUUUCCAGCAAAGAGAACUCAUCCAGCACAGCACUGCAGUUGGGGCCACCUGCCAUGACCUUAUAGCAGUCCAUUGUCAUCCUCUAGGAUCUGGUAAUAUGGGACCCAUGCCUCACGGUGACACGAAUGUACCACAGAAGACAACUGAGUGCAACUUGUUUCAGUUUUCAGUCAAGAGGAAGAUGAGCAGAAACAUGUACAUGGACAGAGACCACAGCUAACCGGGCAAUUUGAUCAUUCCCUUCUUCUGAGGUCUAAUGGUUUCCCUAAGGACAAUUUUCAGUGUUACCAUCUUUUUGUUUUUUGGCUUUUUUGUUUCCUCACAGACAAAUACCUUCUCCAGUGACUGUGCUUCUCUGAAAGCAAAAACGAAUUUAUA